AGUGAACGCUGGCGGUAGGCCUAACACAUGCAAGUCGAACGGCAGCACAGUAAGAGCUUGCUCUUACGGGUGGCGAGUGGCGGACGGGUGAGGAAUACAUCGGAAUCUACUUUUUCGUGGGGGAUAACGUAGGGAAACUUACGCUAAUACCGCAUACGACCUACGGGUGAAAGCAGGGGUUCUUCGGACCUUGCGCGAUUGAAUGAGCCGAUGUCGGAUUAGCUAGUUGGCGGGGUAAAGGCCCACCAAGGCGACGAUCCGUAGCUGGUCUGAGAGGAUGAUCAGCCACACUGGAACUGGGACACGGUCCAGACUCCUACGGGAGGCAGCAGUGGGGAAUAUUGGACAAUGGGCGCAAGCCUGAUCCAGCCAUACCGCGUGGGUGAAGAAGGCCUUCGGGUUGUAAAGCCCUUUUGUUGGGAAAGAAAAGCAGCAGGUUAAUACCCCGCUGUUCUGACGGUACCCAAAGAAUAAGCACCGGCUAACUUCGUG
rnacentral:rRNA from 1 species